ACUACCGCCAGAGGUUAGCGGUCGCGAGGGUUGGGGAGCCUGAUGACCGGCCGAGAGCUAGUUGGACUGAGGUUUAAGGGAGCCUACAGUGAACGUUCUGGCGAAGGAG
rfam:Actinomyces graevenitzii C83 genomic scaffold supercont1.1, whole genome shotgun sequence.